AUGAAUGUAGAAGAAGAAAAGGUCUUAUUAUUACAAAAUCUAAGAAGUUGCUUCAAAGCUGUAGUCUGCGUAACUUGGCCCCGAGUAAAUGCCAACUUGGCGACUCCAUCUGCAGCCACUUGCAUAUUCCUACAGGGGCACAAUGCGCAGCUGAUUUCCCAAUUAAGCUCUCUCGACAAAGUAGUUUUAUCAUUCAGGCAGCCUCAAAAGUUUGAGAGAGGAAUACAUAUUCAUGAGGCACCAGCAGCCCUCCGUCUCAGGCGCAGCUUUCAGCUGGGAGCAGCCCGGGGCUCGGUGCGCCGGAGCCAGCAGGGUGCCACCGGCCGGGCCCCCCCGGGGGCUCCAGGGAGCCGCUGCCCCCCGCAGCACCGAGCACCGGGGGCUCGCCGGGGCCGGGCCCACCCGCGAUCGUGUCCCGCGUGGGUGGGCGGCGGGCGGGGUGCCGGGGGAAGGUCUGUCUGUCCCGGGGGGGCGUCUGUCUGUCCUGAGGGGGGGGGUCUGUCUGUCCCGGGGGGGUGUCCGCCUGCCCGGGGGGAGGGUCCCCGGGCGGCCCCGGCCCCGGCAGGGCGAGGGCGGGGAGCGGCCCCGAGCGCCGCCCGGCUGCGGGCGAGGGCGGUGCGGGGGGCGGGCGGCGCGCCCCUGGGCAGAGCCGGCGCCGGGAGCCGGCCCCCCCCGGCCCCCGCCCGCCCCCGCCCGCGGCCGGCGCGGAGCCUCCCGCGGCACCGGGGCUGCGGCCGCGCUCCCCGCGGCGGCGCCACGCAGGGGCCGUCCCGCGGCACCCGGCCGCCCACCCGCCAGCAGCCCCGGCCCCGACACGGGACCGGCCCGGCCAUGGCAGCCGCGGGCGGGACGCCGCGCCCCGGCCGAGAGCGGAGCCGAGCGGGAGGCAGGUGGGGGCGCCGGGGGGCCGCGGGGGGCGGCGGGGGGCGAGGGCGACGGCGGCUGCCCGGGGGCUGCGGGGGGGGAGCGGAGCGGAGCAGAAAGGGGCGGAGGGGCGCGGGCGGAGCGGCGGUGCCCCCGUCCCCGGUGCCCCCCACCCGCGGCACCGCCGCCCGAAGCUGCGCCGCGUCCCGGGGCGGCCGCCGCCGCGCUCUCGGUGCGCGCUCCGCGCCUCCCGUCCCGUCCCGUCCCGUCCCGUCCCGUCCCGUCCCGUCCCGUCCAGCCUCGCCGUGUCGAGCCGAGCCGAGCCCACCCGAUCCGAACCGUGCCGUGCUGAGCCGUGCCGUGGCCGCGGCGGGCAGGGGGCGCCCCCCGGGAGGGGUUUGGAGCCCAGCGCCGAGCCCAGCGCCCAGCCGCACGCGUGGGCUCCCCCGCCGGGAGCGCUCGGAAGGCGGCCCGGCAGCCCGUGCAUCCCGCCAGGCUCCCUUUGCGCUUGUGUCGCUGUCUUUCAGAUGCGCCGCUGGCCCUGUAGAGACUUUGCUGCUUCACCUCAGGCUUAUGUGA
rnacentral:lncRNA from 1 species